CCUACGGGUGGCAGCAGUCGAGAAUCAUUCACAAUGGGGGAAACCCUGAUGGUGCGACGCCGCGUGGGGGAAGAAGGUACAGCGUAUCGUAAACCUCUUUUGUCAGGGAACAAAGGCGGGGACUAGUCCCCGGAUGAGGGUACCUGAAGAAAAAGCAUCGGCUAACUCCGUGCCAGCAGCCGCGGUAAUACGGAGGAUGCGAGCGUUAUCCGGAUUUAGUGGGGUUAAGGGGUGAGCAGGCGGCCUGUUAAGUCUGCGGGAAAAGCCCGGGGCUCAACCCCGGCGAGCCGUUGAAACUGGCGGGCUGGAGUUGGAGAGAGGUACGCGGAAUGCGCGGUGUAGCGGUGAAAUGCUUAGAGAUCGCGCAGAACCCCGAUUGCGAAGGCAGCGUACCGGCUCCACACUGACGCUGAGGCACGAAAGCGUGGGUAUCGAACAGGAUUAGAUACCCCAGUAGUC
rnacentral:rRNA from 1 species